rnacentral:rRNA from 1 species
AUGCAUGUCUAAGUACAAACCAAGUUAAGGUGAAACCGCGAAUGGCUCAUUAAAUCAGCUAUGAUUCAUUGGAUCUGUACCCACUCUUACUUGGAUAACUGUGGUAAUUCUAGAGCUAAUACAUGCAUCACGUCUCUGACCUUGAGGGAAGAGCGCUUUUAUUAGUUCAAAACCGGUCGGGCCUCGGUCCGUAACCCCUUUGUGUUGAAUCUGAAUAACUUUUUGCUGAGCGCACGGUCUCCGCACCGGCGCCGCGUCCUUCAAGUGUCUGCCUUAUCAGCUUUCGAUUGUAGGUUAUGCGCCUACAAUGGCUAUAACGGGUAACGGGGAAUCAGGGUUCGAUUCCGGAGAGGGAGCCUGAGAAACGGCUACCACA